GAAAGCUGAAUGCGGGAAAACUGCACGUCCAGCUUGAGCGGCGGACGGAAGCAAGCUUUUCAGUAGGCGUCUCCUGCGACCCGAC
rnacentral:misc_RNA from 1 species